ensembl:snRNA U6 U6 spliceosomal RNA
GUACUAGCUUCAUUAGCACAUAUACUAAAAUUGAAACAAUACAGAAGGUAACAUGGCCUUUGCAGAAGGAUGACACACAUAUUCAUGAAACACUUGAUGUUUUA